rnacentral:rRNA from 1 species
CCUACGGGAGGCUGCAGUGGGGAAUAGUGGGCAAUGGGCGCAAGCCUGACCCAGCAACGCCGCGUGAAGGAAGAAGGCUUUCGGGUUGUAAACUUCUAUUGACAGGGAAGAGGAGAAGACGGUACCUGUCGAAUAAGCCACGGCUAACUACGUGCCAGCAGCCGCGGUAAUACGGAGGUGGCAAGCGGUGUCCGGAUUUACGGGGUGUAAAGGGCGGGUAGCCGGGUGUACAAGUCAGAUGUGAAAUCCUGCGGCGUAACCGCAGAACUGCAUUGGAAACUGUUGAUCUUGAGUACUGGAGCGGCAGCCCGACUUCCUAUUGUAGCGGUGACAUGCGUAGCUCUUAGG